rnacentral:rRNA from 1 species
CGGAGGGUGCAAGCGUUGUCCGGAUUUAUUGGGUUUAAAGGGUGCGUAGGCGGCCCGGUAAGUCAGUGGUGAAAGCCUCCAGCUCAACUGGAGAACUGCCAUUGAUACUGCCGGGCUUGAGUACAGACGAGGUUGGCGGAAUUGAUUGUGUAGCGGUGAAAUGCAUAGAUACAAUCAAGAACUCCGAUUGCGUAGGCAGCUAACUAGGCUGUAACUGACGCUGAGGCACGAAAGCGUGGGGAGCGAACAGGAUUAGAUACCCUGGUAGUCCACGCCGUAAACGAUGAUUACUCGAUGUUGGCGAUAAACUGUCAGCGUCUUAGCGAAAGCGUUAAGUAAUCCACCUGGGGAGUACGCCCGCAAGGGUG